rnacentral:rRNA from 1 species
GACGAACGCUGGCGGCGUGCCUAAUACAUGCAAGUAGAACGCUGAAGGAGGAGCUUGCUUCUCUGGAUGAGUUGCGAACGGGUGAGUAACGCGUAGGUAACCUGCCUGGUAGCGGGGGAUAACUAUUGGAAACGAUAGCUAAUACCGCAUAAGAGUAGAUGUUGCAUGACAUUUGCUUAAAAGGUGCAAUUGCAUCACUACCAGAUGGACCUGCGUUGUAUUAGCUAGUUGGUGGGGUAACGGCUCACCAAGGCGACGAUACAUAGCCGACCUGAGAGGGUGAUCGGCCACACUGGGACUGAGACACCGCCCAGACUCCUACGGGAGGCAGCAGUAGGGAAUCUUCGGCAAUGGACGGAAGUCUGACCGAGCAAAGCCGCGUGAGUGAAGAAGGUUUUCGGAUCGUAAAGCUCUGUUGUAAGAGAAGAACGAGUGUGAGAGUGGAAAGUUCACACUGUGACGGUAUCUUACCAGAAAGGGACGGCUAACUACGUG